GUUAGAUCUUCGUUUCUUAACCCUAAUAUGUCGUAUAUAUAUGCGUUUUAAAGCCCCAACAAAUUAGAAGCCGAAUCUCUUGUCAAUUUAGGGUUUUUGGUUGAUUGUUCUUCUUCGUAAUAGAGCCUUAGUUGUGGGUCGUUUUCAGCCUUGGUGGAAGAGGUUGGAAGAAUUAGAACUCGAGCUAUACCUUGUUAGAAAGCUCUCGUUCAUACGGAUCCAACGCCACUGACAUCUCAUCAAACGGAAGUCGGAAUUGAUCGGAAUCUGAUUGGCGGUUGAUUUUAGGUGAAUUAAUUGGUGGUUUGGGACGUAUCUAGAAUUGCCAAUAACCACUCUUUCGGUCCGAAAAUCUUUCCAGAGGGCAUUGAGGAGGAGCAGCGUGCAGCUGAGGCUUAGAGUUCAUUUUUCGGUCGUAGAGCGAGACUUGGUAGAUUUUCCAAAGUUUAAUUUAUUUUGUUUUGAGAUUUGGAGUUUUUACGA